AUGUACAUUCCUACAUAAUAGAGCUUAUGCACUGGAUCCCAUUAGAACUCCGUAGUUAGGCGUGCUCAGGAUAGAGUAGUACUAGGAUGGGUGACCACCCGGGAAGUCCUAGUGUUUUACAUG
rfam:Picea glauca, whole genome shotgun sequence.